rnacentral:rRNA from 1 species
UACCAUGCAGUCGAACGGUAAGGCCCCUUCGGGGGUACACGAGUGGCGAACGGGUGAGUAACACGUGGGUAAUCUGCCCUGCACUUCGGGAUAAGCCCGGGAAACUGGGUCUAAUACCGGAUAUGAGCUCUCACCGCAUGGUGGGGGUUGGAAAGUUUUUCGGUGCAGGAUGAGCCCGCGGCCUAUCAGCUUGUUGGUGGGGUAAUGGCCUACCAAGGCGACGACGGGUAGCCGGCCUGAGAGGGUGAUCGGCCACACUGGGACUGAGACACGGCCCAGACUCCUACGGGAGGCAGCAGUGGGGAAUAUUGCACAAUGGGCGCAAGCCUGAUGCAGCGACGCCGCGUGGGGGAUGACGGUCUUCGGAUUGUAAACCCCUUUCAGUAGGGACGAAGCGCAAGUGACGGUACCUGCAGAAGAAGCACCGGCCAACUACGUGCCAGCAGCCGCGGUAAUACGUAGGGUGCGAGCGUUGUCCGGAAUUACUGGGCGUAAAGAGCUCGUAGGCGGUUUGUCGCGUCGUCUGUGAAAUCCUCCAGCUUAACUGGGGGCGUGCAGGCGAUACGGGCAGACUUGAGUACUACAGGGGAGACUGGAAUUCCUGGUGUAGCGGUGAAAUGCGCAGAUAUCAGGAGGAACACCGGUGGCGAAGGCGGGUCUCUGGGUAGUAACUGACGCUGAGGA